rnacentral:rRNA from 1 species
UACGGAGGGUGCAAGCGUUAUCCGGAUUCACUGGGUUUAAAGGGUGCGUAGGUGGGCAGGUAAGUCAGUGGUGAAAUCUCCGAGCUUAACUCGGAACUGCCGUUGAUACUAUUUGUCUUGAAUAUUGUGGAGGUAAGCGGAAUAUGUCAUGUAGCGGUGAAAUGCUUAGAUAUGACAUAGAACACCAAUUGCGAAGGCGCUUACUACACAACGAUUGACGCUGAGGCACGAAAGCGUGGGGAUCAAACAGG